AUGGGCAUUCAUUCUGAGAUCCAACUAAUGCAGUCUGGUCUGAGAUGAAGAAGCCUGGGACGUCAGCGAACGUCUCCUGCAAGGCUUCAGGAUACACUUUCACUUUCAUGCACCAGAUGGUAGAGGCUCCUGGACAAAGAUUUGAGUGACUCGGUCGUUUUUACCCAGAAUGUAGUACCACAGAGUACUCACAGAAAUUCCAGGGCAGAGUCACCAUGACCAGUGACACCUCCACAUGGAGGUUAAGAAAUCUAAGAUCUGAGGACACAGCCAUGUGUUACUGUACAUGA